UACAGAGGUCCCAAGCGUUGUUCGGAUUCAUUGGGCGUAAAGGGUGCGUAGGUGGCGCGGUAAGUCGGGUGUGAAAUUUCGGAGCUUAACUCCGAAACUGCAUUCGAUACUGCCGUGCUUGAGGACUGGAGAGGAGACUGGAAUUCACGGUGUAGCAGUGAAAUGCGUAGAUAUCGUGAGGAAGACCAGUGGCGAAGGCGGAUCUCUGGACAGCUCCUGACGCUGAGGCGCGAAGGCUAGGGGAGCAAACGGG
rnacentral:rRNA from 1 species